GACGAACGCUGGCGGCGUGCUUAACACAUGCAAGUCGAGCGGAAAGGCCCUGCUUUUGUGGGGUGCUCGAGUGGCGAACGGGUGAGUAACACGUGAGUAACCUGCCCUUGACUUUGGGAUAACUUCAGGAAACUGGGGCUAAUACCGGAUAGGAGCUCCUGCUGCAUGGUGGGGGUUGGAAAGUUUCGGCGGUUGGGGGUGGACUCGCGGCUUAUCAGCUUGUUGGUGGGGUAGUGGCUUACCAAGGCUUUGACGGGUAGCCGGCCUGAGAGGGUGACCGGCCACAUUGGGACUGAGAUACGGCCCAGACUCCUACGGGAGGCAGCAGUGGGGAAUAUUGCACAAUGGGCGGAAGCCUGAUGCAGCAACGCCGCGUGCGGGAUGACGGCCUUCGGGUUGUAAACCGCUUUCGCCUGUGACGAAGCGUGAGUGACGGUAAUGGGUAAAGAAGCACCGGCUAACUACGUG
rnacentral:rRNA from 1 species